rnacentral:rRNA from 1 species
CCUACGGGUGACAGCAGUCGGGAAUAUUGCGCAAUGGAGGAAACUCUGACGCAGUGACGCCGCGUGCAGGAAGAAGGUUUUCGGAUUGUUAAAUGCUUUUGACAGGGAAGAAACAAGACAGUCCCUGUAAUAUAAGCUCCGGCUAACUACGUGCCAGCAGCCGCGGUAAUACGUAGGGAGCAAGCGUUAUCCGGAUUUAUUGGGUGUAAAGGGUGCGUUGACGGGAAAUCAAGUUGGUUGUGAAAUCCCUCGGCUUAACUGAGGAACUGCAACCAAAACUAACGUUCUUGAGUGCUGGAGAGGAAAGUGGAAUUCCGAGUGUAGCGGUGAAAUGCGUAGAUAUUAGGAAGAACACCAGUGGCGAAGGCGACUUUCUGGACAGUAACUGACGUUGAGGCACGAAAGUGUGGGGAGCAAACAGGAUUAGAUACCCUGGUAGUC